rnacentral:rRNA from 1 species
GAUGAACGCUGGCGGCGUGCCUAAUACAUGCAAGUCGAGCGAACGGACGAGAAGCUUGCUUCUCUGAUGUUAGCGGCGGACGGGUGAGUAACACGUGGAUAACCUACCUAUAAGACUCGGAUAACUUCGGGAAACCGGAGCUAAUACCGGAUAAUAUUUUGAACCGCAUGGUUCAAAAGUGAAAGACGGUCUUGCUGUCACUUAUAGAUGGAUCCGCGCUGCAUUAGCUAGUUGGUAAGGUAACGGCUUACCAAGGCAACGAUGCAUAGCCGACCUGAGAGGGUGAUCGGCCACACUGGAACUGAGACACGGUCCAGACUCCUACGGGAGGCAGCAGUAGGGAAUCUUCCGCAAUGGGCGAAAGCCUGACGGAGCAACGCCGCGUGAGUGAUGAAGGUCUUCGGAUCGUAAAACUCUGUUAUUAGGGAAGAACAUAUGUGUAAGUAGCUGUGCACAUCUUGACGGUACCUAAUCAGAAAGCCACGGCUAACUACGUG